rnacentral:rRNA from 1 species
ACACGGAGAGUGCAAGCGUUGUUCGGAAUCACUGGGCUUAAAGAGCGUGUAGGCGGGAUGUCAGGUGUCGCGUGAAAGCCCCGGGCUCAACCCGGGAAUGGCGAGGCAAACCGGCAUUCUUGAGGCAGGUAGAGGUGACUGGAACGACUGGUGGAGCGGUGAAAUGCGUAGAUAUCAGUUGGAACGCCGGAGGCGAAAGCGGGUCACUGGGCCUGUCCUGACGCUGAGACGCGAAAGCGUGGGUAGCGAACAGGAUUAGAAACCCCGGUAGUCC